CCUACGGUGCGCAGCAGUGAGGAAUAUUGGUCAAUGGACGCAAGUCUGAACCAGCCAUGCCGCGUGCAGGAAGACGGCUCUAUGAGUUGUAAACUGCUUUUGUACGGGGGUAAAUCCCGAUACGUGUAUCAGGUUGAAAGUAUCGUACGAAUAAGGAUCGGCUAACUACGUGCCAGCAGCCGCGGGAAUACGGAGGAUUCAAGCGUUAUCCGGAUUUAAGGGGUUUAAAGGGUGCGUAGUCGGUUCGGAAAGUUAGAGGUGAAAUCCCGGGGCUCAACUCCGGCACUGCCUCUGAUACUGUCGGGCUAGAGUUUAGUUGCGGUAGGCGGAAUGUAUGGUGUAGCGGUGAAAUGCAUAGAGAUCAUACAGAACACCGAUUGCGAAGGCAGCUUACCAAACUACGACUGACGUUGAGGCACGAAAGCGUGGGGAGCAAACAGGAUUAGAUACCCGGGUAGUC
rnacentral:rRNA from 1 species